AAGACUAUAGACCUGCGGAGUACCUGCGGAGGGAUCAUUACAGAGUGAUUUGGAGCGGGCCCGCUUCGGCGGAGUGCGCGCAAGUUACCCGUCCUUUGUGUCAUCUGCACGGGCCCACAUUUUGCGGCGACAGUUAAUCGCGGCGAGAGGCGGGCACGAGGCCAUAUUUCCGUCGAGGUGGUGUGUCGUCCCCCCGGGCGGAGUAACGUCUGUGGUGGGAGGGGGACAUGCCCGCGGCGG
rnacentral:misc_RNA from 1 species